rnacentral:rRNA from 1 species
GUCGAACGCUGGCGGCGUGCCUAAUACAUGCAAGUCGAGCGGACGGAUGGGAGCUUGCUCCCAGACCGUCAGCGGCGGACGGGUGAGUAACACGUGGGCAACCUGCCUGUAAGACUGGGAUAACUCCGGGAAACCGGGGCUAAUACCGGAUAACUCUUUCCCUCACAUGAGGGAAAGCUGAAAGAUGGCAUCUCGCUAUCACUUACAGAUGGGCCCGCGGCGCAUUAGCUAGUUGGUGAGGUAACGGCUCACCAAGGCGACGAUGCGUAGCCGACCUGAGAGGGUGAUCGGCCACACUGGGACUGAGACACGGCCCAGACUCCUACGGGAGGCAGCAGUAGGGAAUCUUCCGCAAUGGACGAAAGUCUGACGGAGCAACGCCGCGUGAGUGAUGAAGGUUUUCGGAUCGUAAAACUCUGUUGUCAGGGAAGAACAAGUACCGGAGUAACUGCCGGUACCUUGACGGUACCUGACCAGAAAGCCACGGCUAACUACGUG